CCUACGGGCGGCAGCAGUGGGGAAUAUUGGGCAAUGGACGCAAGUCUGACGCAGCAACGCCGCGUGAAGGAAGAAGGCUUUCGGGUUGUAAACUUCUGUUAAGGGGGAAGAGCAGAAGACGGUACCACUUGAAUAAGCCACGGCUAACUACGUGCCAGCAGCCGCGGUAAUACGGAGGGGGCAAGCGUUGUCCGGAUUUACUGGGUGUAAAGGGCGUGCAGCCGGAGUGGCAAGUCAGAUGUGAAAUCCGCGGGCUCAACUCGCGAACUGCAUUUGAAACGGCUUCCCUUGAGUAUCGGAGAGGUAAUCGGAAUUCCUGGUGUAGCAGUGAAAUGCGUAGAUAUUAGGAAGAACACCAGUGGCGAAGGCGAAUUACUGGACGAUAACUGACGGUGAGGCGCGAAAGCGUGGGGAGCAAACAGGAUUAGAUACCCCUGUAGUC
rnacentral:rRNA from 1 species